rnacentral:rRNA from 1 species
AACGAACGCUGGCGGCAGGCCUCAAACAUGCAAGUCUAGGGGGUGCAGCAAUGCAUCACCGGCGGACGGGUGCGUAACGCGUGGGAAUAUACCUAUUGGUUCGGAACAACUGCGGGAAACUGCAGCUAAUACCGAAUGUGCCCGCAAAGGGGAAAGAUUUAUCGCCAAAGUGGAUUAGCCCGCGUAGGAUUAGCUAGUUGGUGGGUAACGCCCACAGGCUCCGAUCCUAGCNGUUCUGAGAGGAAGAUCAGCCACACUGGGACUGAGACACGGCCAGACUCCUACGGGA